ACUCCUACGGGAGGCAGCAGUAGGGAAUCUUCCACAAUGGGCGCAAGCCUGAUGGAGCAACACCGCGUGAGUGAAGAAGGGUUUCGGCUCGUAAAGCUCUGUUGUUAAAGAAGAACACGUAUGAGAGUAACUGUUCAUACGUUGACGGUAUUUAACCAGAAAGUCACGGCUAACUACGUGCCAGCAGCCGCGGUAAUACGUAGGUGGCAAGCGUUAUCCGGAUUUAUUGGGCGUAAAGAGAGUGCAGGCGGUUUUCUAAGUCUGAUGUGAAAGCCUUCGGCUUAACCGGAGAAGUGCAUCGGAAACUGGAUAACUUGAGUGCAGAAGAGGGUAGUGGAACUCCAUGUGUAGCGGUGGAAUGCGUAGAUAUAUGGAAGAACACCAGUGGCGAAGGCGGCUACCUGGUCUGCAACUGACGCUGAGACUCGAAACAUGGGUAGCGAACAGGAUUAGAUACCCUGGUAGGAUAGCG
rnacentral:rRNA from 1 species